rnacentral:lncRNA from 1 species
GAAUCGUCCAGAAGACUUUGCUCUGGGGGGAUACUUCACUCCUGUAAACCUGCCAGCAAGUCAUAGCAAUGUCCCUCUGAGUCAAGCUCAUGGCUUGCCCCAGUGCUGCCUACCUCUCGAGCACCCUGCUUAACGUCACAGCUGGCCUCCGCUACACAACUGCCCGUCUUUGGAGUCGCUCAGCAAAGCACACAGCAAGGAGAGCUGUGGGUUUCUGUCAACUGGUGCAUCCACCACUAUGUCCUGGAGAGCCUAUAACCAUCUCCGACCUGGAGAAGAGAGGGAAGGCGCUGUGCACGCGGUACCACCCCACCCUCCGAUGUGCUCUGAGCUGUUUGGGGCCUCCAAGCGAUAGAUCUUCCCCGAGUCUUGCAGGCAUUUGCCAUUACAGCGCAUGGAAGGACAGUGCUGGCAUCUAUUCUGAGCUGAUGGGAGUCGUGGAGAUGUAAUGAUGCCGUUGACACCGAGCACUGGAUGUACGGACCAGCUCGCCUCUGCAGUCUUUUGCCUCUGAACCUUUUGCUUUAGGUUCUAAUCAGCAAAAAUGGGUAAGGAUGGAAGUAUCCCAGGAAGGGUGGAUUUAUUGGUGACAUUAUGGGAUGAAAGAUGCAAUCUUU